rnacentral:rRNA from 1 species
UACGAAGGGUGCAAGCGUUACUCGGAAUUACUGGGCGUAAAGCGUGCGUAGGUGGUUCGUUAAGUCUGUCGUGAAAGCCCCGGGCUCAACCUGGGAAUGGCGAUGGAUACUGGCGGGCUAGAGUGCGGUAGAGGAGAGUGGAAUUCCCGGUGUAGCAGUGAAAUGCGUAGAGAUCGGGAGGAACAUCAGUUGCGAAGGCGGCUCUCUGGACCAGCACUGACACUGAUGCGCGACAGCGUGGGGAGCAAACAGG